rnacentral:lncRNA from 1 species
UUCUCAGUAUAUCAAAUGAACAAAACUAAAGAUUCAAAGAGAAGGGAUCUUCUUCUUUUCCCUCACUGUACAGCAAUAUCAUUACAGAGUUGACAAAAGAAUUCAUUUUUACCAAGUUCUGAAUAAAUGUGUGGAUUUCUGGUAAGUUCUCAUAAAAAAUAUAUUUUUCUCUGAACCACAUUUUCUUGUUCAUAGUAGGCGUGUGCAAUUCGGCUGAAGGGUGAUCCAUUUUUGGUAUCCAGAUCCAUUUUUUGGGAGCCUCCUGAAAAUUGGCUAAUGAAAAACUCUGUUUUCAACUAGGCAGUUGAAAGAUCUGGGAAGAUCUGGC